UACGUAGGGUGCUAGCGUUGUUCGGAAUCAUUGGGCGUAAAGCGCGUGUAGGCGGUCAGGCAAGUCGAAUGUGAAAUCCCUGGGCUCAACCUAGGAAGUGCAUUCGAAACUGCGAGGCUCGAGUCCUGGAGAGGAAGGCGGAAUUCUCGGUGUAGAGGUGAAAUUCGUAGAUAUCGAGAGGAACACCGGUGGCGAAGGCGGGUCUCUGGGCAGUAACUGACGCUGAGGAGCGAAAGCGUGGGGAGCGAACAGG
rnacentral:rRNA from 1 species